AUACGGAGGGGGCUAGCGUUGUUCGGAAUUACUGGGCGUAAAGCGCACGUAGGCGGUUUAUCAAGUUAGGCGUGAAAGCCCUGGGCUCAACCCAGGAACUGCGUUUCAUACUGAUAAGCUAGAGACCGGGAGAGGGUGGCGGAAUUCCCAGUGUAGAGGUGAAAUUCGUAGAUAUUGGGAAGAACACCGGUUGCGAAGGCGGCCACCUGGACCGGAACUGACGCUGAGGUGCGAAAGCGUGGGGAGCAAACAGGAUUAGAAACCCCAGUAGUCC
rnacentral:rRNA from 1 species